GACGAACGCUGGCAGCGUGCCUAAUACAUGCAAGUAGAACGCUGAAGGAGGAGCUUGCUUCUCUGGAUGAGUUGCGAACGGGUGAGUAACGCGUAGGUAACCUGCCUGGUAGCGGGGGAUAACUAUUGGAAACGAUAGCUAAUACCGCAUAAGAGUAGAUGUUGCAUGACAUUUGCUUAAAAGGUGCAAUUGCAUCACUACCAGAUGGACCUGCGUUGUAUUAGCUAGUUGGUGGGGUAACGGCUCACCAAGGCGACGAUACAUAGCCGACCUGAGAGGGGGAUCGGCCACACUGGGACUGAGACACGGCCCAGACUCCUACGGGAGGCAGCAGUAGGGAAUCUUCGGCAAUGGACGGAAGUCUGACCGAGCAACGCCGCGUGAGUGAAGAAGGUUUUCGGAUCGUAAAGCUCUGUUGUAAGAGAAGAACGAGUGUGAGAGUGGAAAGUUCACACUGUGACGGUAUCUGACCAGAAAGGGACGGCUAACUACGUG
rnacentral:rRNA from 1 species